rnacentral:rRNA from 1 species
UUUAUUUCGGUAGACAUCUUAGUGGCGCACGGGUGAGUAACGCGUGAAUAACCUGCCUUCAGGAUGGGGACAACAGACGGAAACGACUGCUAAUACCGAAUAAGUUCCAAGAGCCGCAUGGCCCAUGGAAGAAAAGGUGGCCUCUACCUGUAAGCUAUCGCCUGAAGAGGGGUUUGCGUCUGAUUAGCUGGUUGGAGGGGUAACGGCCCACCAAGCCGACGAUCGGUAGCCGACCUGAGAGGGUGAUCGGCCACAUUGGGACUGAGACACGGCCCAAACUCC